GAUGAACGCUGGCGGCGUGCUUAAUACAUGCAAGUCGAGCGAACAGACGUGGUUCUUGCUCCUCUCACGUUAGCGACGGGCGGGUGAGUAACACGUGGAUAACCUACCUAUAAGACUGGGAUAACUUCGGGAAACCGGAGCUAGUACCGGAUAAUAUAUUGAACCGCAUGGUUCAAUAGUGAAAGACGGUUUUGCUGUCACUUAUAGAUGUAUCCGCGCCGCAUUAGAUAGUUGGUAAGGUAAGGGCUUACCAAGGCAACGAUGCGUAGCCGACCUGGGGGAGUGAUCGGCCACACUGGAACUGGGACAUGGUCCAGACUGGUACGGGAGGAAGCAGUAGGCAAUCUUCGGCAAUGGGCGAAAGGAUGACGGAGCAACGGCGCGUGAGUGAUGAGGGUAUUCGGAUCGGAAGGCACUGUGAUUAGGGGUGAACAACUGUGUAAGUCACUGUGCACGUCUUGACGGUAUCUAAUCAAAAAGCAACGGCUAACUACGUG
rnacentral:rRNA from 1 species